AACCACCCAGGGGCCCCUCCCCCUCAGAACUAUCUAACUGCCAAACUGAAUCAAAUCUGGCUCUAUGCGUUUGGUGAACUUGAAUCAGCCCGGAAAAAACCUAUCCAUUGUUAUUAUGAUCAGAUCCAAUCUCUGGCGCUGUGUGGGGUUAGGAACUGGAUGCUGCAUCAUCAGCAUAACUGUAUCAAAGAGGCUGCUCCGCUGACAAGCAGAUGAUGAAGACACCUGUGCCACAACUGCUGCUGUGGAGAAGGCUGCUGUCAUUCUCACUGUCACUCUAUGUAUAUUACACGUUAUUAUUAGUUGUUAACUGAUA